CCUACGGGAGGCAGCAGUGGGGAAUCUUGCACAAUGGGGGAAACCCUGAUGCAGCGACGCCGCGUGAGUGAAGAAGUAAUUCGUUAUGUAAAGCUCUGUCAGCAGGGAAGAAAAUGCCGGUACCUGAGUAAGCAGCCCCGGCUAACUACGUGCCAGAAGCCGCGGUAAUACGUCGGGGGCACGCGUUAUCCGGAUUUACUGGGUGUAAAGGGAGCGUAGACGGCUGUGCAAGUCUGGAGUGAAAGCGGGGGGCUCAACCCCCGGAGUGCUCUGGAAACUGUACGGCUGGAGUGCAGGAGAGGUAAGUGGAAGUCCUAGUGUAGCGGUGAAAUGCGUAGAGAUUAGGAGGAACACCAGUGGCGAAGGCGGCUUACUGGACUGUAACUGACGUUGAGGCUCGAAAGCGUGGGGAGCAAACAGGAUUAGAUACCCCUGUAGUC
rnacentral:rRNA from 1 species